UACGUAGGGGGCAAGCGUUGUCCGGAUUUAUUGGGCGUAAAGAGCGUGUAGGCGGCCAGAUAGGUCCGUUGUGAAAACUCGAGGCUCAACCUCGAGACGCCGAUGGAAACCAUUUGGCUAGAGUCCGGAAGAGGAGAGUGGAAUUCCUGGUGUAGCGGUGAAAUGCGCAGAUAUCAGGAAGAACACCCGUGGCUAAGGCGGCUCUCUAGUACGGUACUGACGCUGAGACGCGAAAGCGUGGGGAGCGAACAGA
rnacentral:rRNA from 1 species